AGGAAUGUAGCUCAGUGGUACAGCACUUAUCUAGCAGAUAUAAGACCUUGGUUCAAACCCAAGCACUUGUA
rnacentral:tRNA from 1 species